AGACUAUUAAGACAUGAAUUCACUGUCUUUAGUAGAAUUUUUCAGAAAUCAGAAACAUAAAUUAUGUUUAAUUGUUGAAGAAUAUUUUUAAUAAAUUGUAUAACUGCUUUAGACUUACACCUUCCUCUUUCUUCUCUUUCAUCAUUUAAUGAUUAAACUUUGUGAAAUCAACACUGUAUGUAUAUUUAAACUCUAAUCUUUGUAAGGCUGAACAUUUAUGUAUCUAUAUUUUUCAAAGUGACAAUAACUAACAGUAGUAAUUUGGACCUUACAUGACAUCUUAACAGCUUUUCCUUGGUUAACAAAUAAUCAUGUAAACUGUUUCCUGUGUAAACUUCAGAUUCCCUUAAACUUCACUCUCUUGCAACAAAGAUGGCUGCAACUCUGACUUUUCUUCUCGUUAGUUCUCUGCUGCAGGGUGCGCUGUGUGGAACGUUCAACAUUAAAAUGCCACAGAAGAUAAAUGUUUUGAGAGGAUCCUGUGUGAACAUCCCCUGCUCCUUCGAUGUAGAGACAAGAUUUGAAAAUAACUUAGAUGAUUCAUGUAAAGCAUAUUGGAGUGAUUCAUCUUCAUUUACCACUGAAAAUGCAAAACUAAAGCCAACUAAAGAAAUGACAGGAGACUUAACAAAGAAAGACUGCACCACAACUGUCAAUAAUACACGUCUCCUUCAAAGUGCUAAAUACUAUUUCAGACUGGAGUGUGAUAAUGCACUGAAAUACAGGUUUGCCCAAGCUGGUGUAGAUAUUUCACUCAUAGCUGCUCCUCCCUCACCGACUCUGACUCCAUCCACACUGAAAGUGAAGGAGGGAGCCUCAGUGAGUCUGACGUGCUCUGCUCCAGCUCCAGUGUUGGUCUCAUCCUCCAGCUCUGACAUGGAGCCCUAACCUGGGUCAGAGUCAGGAGACACUGCAGGAGAAUCAGGACAAAACUAAAGUCAGGACCUCUGUUAUGAAUUUCACUGCUUCUCACCUCCAUCAUGGAAAUAAAAUCUCCUGCACUGCUGUCUACAAGAAACAAGAUGGUAGCCCUGAUGUCACUGCUGAAGCAAGUUUAACUCCUGAUAUUUCAUACUAAGGGACAUCUCUGCUGAUAGGUGAAGGUACAAUCUCUGCUGAUAGACGUCCACGCCUCGGAGGAAGCCGAUCCACGGAUUAGGCCCUGGAAGCCGUUUCCUUCAAUUUUGGUGUCAGAGGUGGGAUCCUGACGAAGGUAGGCACGUGUCUUUUUAUUUUAUAAGACUGUGUUAUGCCUUUCUCAGUGAUCCACAUAGAAACGGGAUACGCUGACGAGGCCUUCUUCAGUGGCCCACAUAGUAACAAGUGGGAUACACUGAGGAGCCUUCUUUAGUGGCCCACAUAGAAACACAGGAAGUUGCCUGUUGUUUUGUAAAUUAAAGCAGAAAGGACACAGGAAGUUGCCUGCUGUCAUAAACUAAGAAGUUGCUCACCAGCAGAAAGGACACAGGAAGUUGCCUGGGGUCAUAAAACGAGAAGUUGCUCGUUAAAAAGUGAGAAGUUGCUCACUAAAAAGAUAAAAUUGCUAGCAAAAAAUCAAGUAACCUCAGGUGUGCCACAGCAAAAAAAAACUAACUUAAAUCCUUCAAGCGUCUAAACCCCUCUGGAAAUCACUGACCAUGGGUCAGAAUAAUUCAAAGACCUUAGACGGGUCCGAUAAAAAAUCCUACAGCCUUUGUUUCUGCAUUACAGAGAAGUACCAGAUACCACCACUUGGGUGGGCCUGACUAUAGAUAUAUAUUAUGUCAACGAAUCCCAGGUGUGACUGAAUCUCAGCUUAUUGAAGAAGUAGAGGAACUAGACCCUAAAAAUGACCAAGCAGCCAACACCACCUCGUUUUUGUGGAUAAACGAUGAUAAAAUCACAGCCUUUUUUCAAAAUCUAAAGAAAUUUCUGCUCACAAUGUCUAGAGAUAAAAUUGAUUUAAAUGCAGUAACCAUGUGCAAGCAAAAGCCAGAUGAAUCCAUUCUAGUUUUUAUGAAACGUUUCACGCACUGCUGGACUAAUGAGGCAUGCAUGCCUGAAGGAGGAAAUGAUCAGAUUUUCAUAACAACAUUCUUAAACAAUAUUCAUCCAGAAUGUUCACAACUAUUGAAGCUGACUGCCACUGAUAAUCUCUAUGACAUGAAAAUAAAGAACUUUAUCACACUUGUCAAAACAAAA